GAACACUGGAUGACUGACAGCUGUCCUUCAUGACAACAGAAGCCACAGAAAUCCUCCUCAUCAAAAACAUGACUUUGAUCUGCGUCCUCAUCUGGACUCUCCUCUGCUGCUGCUUCACAGAGUCCAGAGGCCAGGUCACAGUGACUCAGCCUGGAGCAGUGAGCUCUGCUCUGGGAGGCUCCGUCUCCAUCAGCUGUAGGACCAGUCAGAAUGUUCAUGUUUGGAGCAACUACCACCUUUUAGCCUGGUACCAACAGAGAGAUGGAGAAACUCCUAAACUGCUCAUUUACUAUGCUAGCACUCGAGCAUCAGGGAUUCCAGGUCGUUUUACAGGCAGUGGAUCAAACUCUGACUUCACUCUGACCAUCAGUGGAGUCCAGACUGAAGAUGCAGCAGUUUACUACUGUCAGAGUGAACACUAUAUCAACAGUCAGCAUGUGUUCACACAGUGAAAAAGCGUCGUACAAAAACCUCCCUCAGUCAGACUGAACAG